AUGUACAUGCAGUCUUGGAACAUCCCCAGCUGCUCACCUGCAGCAAGAUGGACACAUUGCCACUCAAGUGUUGCCAGCUCCUUGGGGUUACACAAGGCAGGCUUGCACCUGAAACCUGAACUGCGUCUGGCACCGAGAUGGCUGCACAGAGCUGCCCUCCUUUCUCAUGAGGUUGGCUGUGACCAUUGGUUUGCAUGUUGGGAAAAGCAUCCGCUUAACAAGCCGGUUGUCACCUCUCCAGUCAUAGGAUAAAAAUGAAUGAGAUAAAGAAGAGCCAGGUUAGAGUCUGGGGAACAUUUUCUGACGCAAAGUGUAUGAGGCAGUAGCCCUGACUGCCCAGGAAUGCAUGUGUGAGAGAAGCUUGACACUUAAAGGUUUCAGCAAGGUGCUAUCGUUCCUGGAUCUCAUCCAGUCAUACGAACAAGCAAGCCUUCACUCAGGAUUAUCAACAAGAAAUUCCUUCCUAGGAUAAAUGAAUGGCUGAUGAUGAU